CUUAGGCGUGUGACUGCGUACCUUUUGUAUAAUGGGUCAGCGACUUAUAUUCUGUAGCAAGGUUAACCGAAUAGGGGAGCCGAAGGGAAACCGAGUCUUAACUGGGCGUUAAGUUGCAGGGUAUAGACCCGAAACCCGGUGAUCUAGCCAUGGGCAGGUUGAAGGUUGGGUAACACUAACUGGAGGACCGAACCGACUAAUGUUGAAAAAUUAGCGGAUGACUUGUGGCUGGGGGUGAAAGGCCAAUCAAACCGGGAGAUAGCUGGUUCUCCCCGAAAGCUAUUUAGGUAGCGCCUCGUGAAUUCAUCUCCGGGGGUAGAGCACUGUUUCGGCAAGGGGGUCAUCCCGACUUACCAACCCGAUGCAAACUGCGAAUACCGGAGAAUGUUAUCACGGGAGACACACGGCGGGUGCUAACGUCCGUCGUGAAGAGGGAAACAACCCAGACCGCCAGCUAAGGUCCCAAAGUCAUGGUUAAGUGGGAAACGAUGUGGGAAGGCCCAGACAGCCAGGAUGUUGGCUUAGAAGCAGCCAUCAUUUAAAGAAAGCGUAAUAGCUCACUGGUCGAGUCGGCCUGCGCGGAAGAUGUAACGGGGCUAAACCAUG
rnacentral:rRNA from 1 species